AAAAUGUCUUGCAAAAUCUGAGGGUGGGGAAAUGGUUGGAGAGCUCACAACUUUUCAGAACUACAGCUAAACAAGUGAAAAUGCAGCCCAGGAACUGGCAGAAAACUGCCUUUCUGUGAGCAGGGAGUUGACUGAGAAACCUUGCAAUGACCCAGGAGUUGGUAGGAAAGGACAGGGAGAUUAAUGUGAUUCUGAACAGACAAGCAGCCCUUAUGGAAAACGAUGCACUGAAGCUUCCCUCCCACUCUCUCCUUUCCUCGGCACCAUUCUGCAUCCUGAAGUGGGUCUGUCUCUGGAUCCCCAGGCCUCCAGAAAGCUGUCAGACUGGAAAAACAGGUCCUCAAGGAUUCAAAACACAGCUCCUUCUCCUAAGGCACUGACCACAGCAGUGCCCACCUCAGAUCCCUCCAACCCAAUGGACUUGAGACCUCAUUUUCAUUAAAAAUAGAGGAAUGAGCUGCUGCAGCCCUAGCCCUGUGCAUCAGACCAUUACAAAUCCUUCUGGAACUGCCUGAUUAAUCCUUUGUUAUCGGGACUUCCUGCCAGCACCCUGUCACUGCCUCUCAUCCUAAUCCUGUGGCACAAUCCCUUCCCAUCAGUAUUAUCAGCAGUUUGCAAAAACUGGAAUCCUAAGCCAAAAUGUGACAGUAUUCCUCAGGCACCUCACCCGGGCUGCAUAAAUUUACAGAGGGAAAGUUAUCUCACCUACCUUAGGCACCUGGUUUUGGUUGGGAUGAAUCUUCCAUUGGAAGUGCCUCCCUCCCCACAGUAACUAUAGACAAAGAUAGCCUUGAAUUAAUAUCUAAAUAACUAGAAUAAGGCAAUAUCAGUCCCAUUUUUUUGAUGCCAGGAUUAAAACCAGAACUUGUUUGAGUCAGUUUUUAGGUCUCUUUUAUUCUUACACCAUUAUAAGAACUCAUUUUCUAAUUCCUUGACUCUUUUAAUUACAUUUAAAUUGAACUUAUUAGCAUUUAAUUGAAACUUCAUUCAAUGCCUCUCAAAAUAGAAAUCAAUUUUAAGAAUUACUUAUUCUGCAGUAGAAAAAUGUGCUGAUACAGGUGAAUUAAUCACAUGUUCUUAGAAUCAUUACUAUAUUCUUGCUGGCCAGAAAAAAGAUGAAGAAUUGAAAAAUGCAGUUGUUCUGAAACCAAAAUGCUUUGCCCAACCCUAUUAGAUUUGCUGAAAUACGUUUUGGCAGAUAAGCAUAUUCUGACAUUGCCAAAAUGUCCUGUUUUAUAAUUUUGGAACUGGGUAUCUAAUAUUUCUUUUCAAAAUAGUUUUUCAUGUUUAAUGUUCCUAUGAUGUGUUUCAUUUUGUGUUCUCAAUACAAUUAAAAAGUCAACCAUAAUCAAAAGUUUCUGAGACAUUUCAGUUGAUACAACACGUUUUUCUUAAAACUUUCUCUUCCAAAUAAUUUCAGAAUUUUCAGAAGUUGUGCCUAACUGGCCUAAGAUCAAAUUUGAAAAUCCUCUGCAAAUUUAUUUUCUGCAUACGUUUGAUUUAUUGCUGAUAUUCCACCAAAAGUGUGUCGGCCGUAAACCUCUUAAAGAGCUGAAAGGAAAAGAGAUUCAGUGUUCCUCAGAGAGGACUUUACACUUUCUGGGCCAGGACUUAAAAUUCAUUUCCACCACUGCAAGACUACCCAGUACCAAAACACUUUUCUUCAAGUGAAGCCGAGGAGAGAUUGGUGGUAAUUUUUAUGUCACCUUGCACAAUUUAAAGUGUUUAGAGGAUAUAAAAUGAAAGAUUAUAAUCUGUGAAAAUACAGAUGUUAGUUUAUAAUAUU